AGAGUUUGAUCAUGGCUCAGGACUAACGCUGGCGGCGUGCCUAACACAUGCAAGUCGAACGGUUGAGAAGUGAAAGAUGAUUUAUCAUCUUUCCACUUCUCAAUAGUGGCGAACGGGUGAGUAACACGUGGGUAAUCUGCCCUUUAGCGGGGAAUAACAGAGGGAAACUUCUGCUAAUACCCCAUAUCUUCUUUAAAAGGCAUCUUUUAAAGAAGAAAGACGGCCUCUUUUUAAUGCUGUCGCUGGAGGAUGAGCCCGCGUUCCAUUAGCCAGUAGGUAGGGUAACGGCCUACCUAAGCGAUGAUGGAUAGCCGGCCUGAGAGGGUGGUCGGCCACACUGGGACUGAGAUACGGCCCAGACUCCUACGGGAGGCAGCAGUGGGGAAUUUUGCGCAAUGGGGGAAACCCUGACGCAGCAACGCCGCGUGAGCGAUGAAGGCCUUCGGGUCGUAAAGCUCUGUCUUGGGGGAAGAAACCUUAAAGGCUAAUACCCUUUAAGCUGACGGUACCCUAAAAGGAAGCCCCGGCUAACUACGUGCCAGCAGCCGCGGUAAUACGUAGGGGGCAAGCGUUGUCCGGAAUUAUUGGGCGUAAAGGGCGUGUAGGCGGCUGGUUAAGUCAGUGGUGUAAGGCUUCGGCUCAACCGGAGAAUUGCCAUUGAAACUGGCCGGCUUGAGGGCAGCAGAGGUAAGCGGAAUUCCUGGUGUAGCGGUGAAAUGCGUAGAUAUCAGGAGGAACACCAGUGGCGAAGGCGGCUUACUGGGCUGGCCCUGACGCUGAGGCGCGAAAGCGUGGGGAGCAAACAGGAUUAGAUACCCUGGUAGUCCACGCCGUAAACGAUGGGUACUAGGUGUUGGGGGUUUAGAUACCCUCAGUGCCGGAACUAACGCGCUAAGUACCCCGCCUGGGGAGUACGGUCGCAAGGCUGAAACUCAAAUGAAUUGACGG
rnacentral:rRNA from 1 species